UCCUCAUCCGCGAGGGUGGGGAAUCAACCGCUAGGAUCGUUUACUUUGAGGAAAUUAGAGUGUUCAAAGCAGGCGUAACUCGCCUCCGAAUACGUUAGCAUGGGAUAAUGGAAUACGACUUCGGUCUUGUUUCGUUGGUUUCGCUUGGCUGAAGUAAUGAUUGAUAGGGACAGUUGGGGGCAUUAGUAUUUAGUUGUCAGAGGUGAAAUUCUAGGAUUUACUAAAGACUGACCAAUGCGAAAGCAUUUGCCAAGGAUGUUUUCAUUAAUCAAGAACGAAAGUAGGGGGAUCGAAGACGAUCAGAUACCGUCGUAGUCUCUACCGUAAACUAUGCCGACCAGGGAUCCGGAGAGUUUGCAUGGAUGACUCCCCGGGCACCUUGUGAGAAAUCAUAAGUGUUUGGGUUUUGGGGGGAGUAUGGUCGCAAGGCUGAAACUUAAAGGAAUUGACGGAAGGGCACCACCAGGAGUGGAACCUGCGGCUUAAUUUGACUCAACACGGGGAAACUUACGAGGUCAGGACACUGUGAGGAUUGACAGA
rnacentral:rRNA from 1 species